CAGUCGCCGCGGUAAUACGGAGGGGGCUAGCGUUGUUCGGAAUUACUGGGCGUAAAGCGCACGUAGGCGGACUGGAAAGUCAGAGGUGAAAUCCCAGGGCUCAACCUUGGAACUGCCUUUGAAACUAUCAGUCUGGAGUUCGAGAGAGGUGAGUGGAAUUCCGAGUGUAGAGGUGAAAUUCGUAGAUAUUCGGAGGAACACCAGUGGCGAAGGCGGCUCACUGGCCCGGAACUGACGCUGAGGUACGAAAGCGUGGGGAGCAAACAGGAUUAGAUACCCCUGUAGUCCCUGUCUCUUAUAC
rnacentral:rRNA from 1 species